UAAGACCUGUACUCUGGAUGAGUGUUAAGACAGCUCUAGUCUAACCAAGUGAAAUAGAAAGGCAGGUGAAAGGUGAAAUUCACCUAAGGAGGCUAGCAGAGGGCAGACUUGCACUGCCCACAGUUCUGUUCAUUAUGACCCAGGAGCUUGUGUCACACACCCUCCAUUCCUUAUACCAGACUACAGUCAGCCUGGGUCUCCUCUCUCAUCUUCUGUCUGCCACCACAGAUGCAUUGUGCAGCACGUGUGCCAUCUCCUUGGAUGGUAGGAGAGAAGCUCACCUCUAGCCCAUUGCUGUUCAGUACAAAGGCUUCUGCUCUCAGAGCCCCCGGACACUGAGUUCAUGAGGAUAGACCCCAGGAUAUUAGUGCUCUGCUCCAAGUAGAUCAUCAACAGGAGUCCAUUUAUUCCGCACCUGAAGGGGAAGAGGACACUCGACAAGCAGGAGGUAUCUGGAGAGGGCUGCACUGGAGCAGGCCAGAGGAUUCAGAACACAGAGUCCAGCCGAUGGCAUUUUGUAACAGCAACAUGAACUGGACUAGAUAUUGAUGGAAAACGCUGAAUCUACCAUUCAUGGAGCAAUCAUCAGAGUCAUCGUAAAUCCGCCUGACAGGAAGCCUGAAUUCUUACACCUCACCAUGCCUCAUCUCCAUCUCCUCCCCUCUCUAACAAAUAAGGACACAUGUCCCUGAGAAGAUGUUCCCAGAAACCUCUUUUCAAUGCAGCCCCCAACCCAGUCCUCAGAGUCACACUGCCAGUCAUAAGAAUGCCGUUGUCAGCAGAGGCCACUUCUCAGGUGAGAACUGGCUGGAGUCACAACACUGAGGACCUGAAGGAUACUCUUCCGUACUGCACAGCUGGGCCAGCGCCUCUGACACCUGCCUAUAAGCAAGCCACUACUCUGCAGAGUUAUCUCUGGGCAUAUUGAAACAUAAGAAGUACCUGCUGUCUCCUAUCAUUCCUACACGGAUGAAUUUAAGAGUGACCUUUUGUUGGCUCAGUGUCAGCACCAGGACCAGCACCAGCACCAGCACCAGGACCAGCACCAGCACCAGCACCAGCCACACUACAUAUCUAUUUCUGUGUGGGCACACCUGAUGCUAAACCGAAGACAGAACCGCAGUAUAUAGGACAGGUGUCAGCUGUGGGUCUCAGACAGGACUUGAGACAGCCACAGCACUUAGAAGACAGCCAGCAGUAUAUCCCGCUGAUGCAUAAAGGAACACUGCAUGUCGGUACUACCCGUAUGCCAAUGCUACACGGUACUUUCUCCCAUCAAUUGUAGCAUUUAAGCCUCAGUCUGACAGAGAAAGUUGAGUGAUAAGUCUAUGUAUGAUUCUGUUGUGUGCUACAGAUAUAUCUUUAGCUUAACAAAUUAGCCAACUAGCCAGAACCUUGACCUCUUUACAGUUAGAAGAUUGAAAGUUUGUCAUUUAAAGGAAUGUCUAAAGUUGAAUUAAACUUGGGAAAAUGUGACUCAUUCAUAACAAACAUGAUAUAUGAGAUGUGAUCUUAAAUCCUGAGAAGGACACACUCUCUAUGCCCAUUAAAACGAGACAGAAAGUUCCAACAAUGACUGGACACUUUGGUGGAGAAAGAUGUGUCAAUACCCGAGUAUCGAGGCAUCUGGCUCAUUCUUCAUGCUUUUAGACCUUGUACAGAGCAUAACCAGUGUCCUAGGGGUUGAAGAGGAACAAAGAGGGCUGUUCCAAUUAGAAUGACUGCUACAUGUACAGGUAUAACUAGCAUGAAGCCAGGUGAUCUUGGUUCAUUCCUGUCUAUCCAGAAGGGUGGGUAUCUAGAUGUAUCUAGAUAUAAAGGCUGAGUAUUUGUCAUGGAUGAGGACAGUUGUGACCAUACUCCUGUGAAAUGGGAUCUCUGCAUGGAGGAAUCUGCCUUCAGAGUAUGACUGUGUGGGUGUGUGUGUGUGUGUGGGGAGUGUUUGUUCUAAGUGAGGACAGCUGCGGCUCCAUUCCUAUGGAGGAACCUACCUGCAGUGUACUGGCUGCAACCAAUGGUAGGCAUAGGCUACUGCUUCAAUUAAAUUUCUCUUGCCCUGGUAUUCUCAUUAGUCAACCUUGUAUGUUUAGGACCAAAGGGUUGAUUCUAAGCACCGGACAUUGGUUUAUAUGCAUAUGAAUCAGGGGGUCUGUGUGUAGGAACAAGGGUGGGGGAGAAAUUUCUCCUCAAUUCUGGAUAUUAAGGAUGUUCAUCCUGGGUUCUUGGCAGGUACUAAAGUUUUACAUGCAUGCAACCUGUUGUGCAUAUAAUAAGCACAUACAAUAGGCCUAUAGCGGGUAUUUCCCAGUGUUUCCUGGCUGGAUGGAAAGGAACAAAGACUGGCCAUAGGUGGUGGUAAAUCUCAGCUUCACCCUGGGUGAUCUAAGAAAUGUCCCUCUCCCUUAGAGUUGGUGUAUGACCCUUAACUGUGCAGAUAAAAACUUGGACAAACUCAGGCAACAGCUGACGUGAUACCAGAGUGUGUACUUGCAAAUGUGUGUCUGAAUAUCAUUAGACAGGAAAACUAAUACAAGUAUAUGUUUAAAUCUACAUUUCAUUUAAGUUGGGAAUCCAACAUUUUCUGGAGAACUGAGAAUAUGACUUUUUUAAAAAAAUCAUUUGGCCUCCUUUUAAAUAAAAUUAUAAACGUAAUAUUUUAAAGAAAGUAGUAUGAUACAUGAUCGUCAGUGAAAUCGUGAGCUGCGAAUCUUUGCUACAGGCUGGUUAUUGGGUCAGUUACCUGAACAUCUAAAGUAGAAGCAUUUGUACUGAGGGGCAGGGUAUGUUGCUUCACCCAUCAUUAUGUCAAUGUGAAGUCUGUCAGCGAGUUACUGAUUCCUAUUACAUUUCUAAAAUUUCUCCUGCUGAUACCAUUGCUUUAGUCACCAGUGUGCUUAGAAUCAGAAAAGAAGAGCAAAGGAGACAAAAAGUCUUGGUAAAGAAUAGUGACAUGUUUUAGGCUGGCCUUAUGUGUCAGCUGUGCACUACACACACACAACUGAAAAUACCUGAGGUUUGGCCCUCCCACAGUCUCACAUAGUAGGUGAAUAGAAAUUAUCUCUUGGUGAGUGAUUGGUCGUCUUCUGAUUACGUUAUUUUUUGUGUUUGGAGAAAGGUAAGAACUGAACUUCAUGGCCUAAAUUUACAAUUGGAAGAUGGUGGAGACUGUGAAGUUGCUAUACUCAGAGUCACCUGCAGCCAGCCUAAAGCCCCGUGUCUUCUCCCCUAGUUGCUUUUGGUCAUGGUCUUUACAACAGCAAUGGAAACCUAAGACAUUCUCUUUUUGGUGAGCUGCAGGGAACCUUUGGUUAUAGAAGAUCCUGAUAGUAAAUGACCACUGAGAGCGCACCCCUAAACAAGACAAUUAUGCCAGUCAUUCCAAGGUUCAAGAGUUACCGAGGAGGAAGUGGCUGAAAGAAUGAGCUCCCUGGAGCAGGAAAUGUGAACACUUGGCUCUCUGGUGCUCUGGUGCAAAGAGCUGUGCUCAAAAACCUGGAAGAUGUUCAACCAGUAUUGGUCAAACGAGUAAACAGGAGUGGGAAGUCACUUUAGUUAAAGCUGUCCUUGAACUCCGAAAUCUAGCUUCUACUUCCCACGUGCUGGGUCACAGGUGAGUGUCACCUUGCCUGGCUGUGCCUAGAUUCUUUCUGUCAAUACAACUUUUAUGAGUCUGA